rnacentral:rRNA from 1 species
ACGGGUAGCCGGCCUGAGAGGGUGACCGGCCACACUGGGACUGAGACACGGCCCAGACUCCUACGGGAGGCAGCAGUGGGGAAUAUUGCACAAUGGGCGGAAGCCUGAUGCAGCAACGCCGCGUGAGGGAUGACGGCCUUCGGGUUGUAAACCUCUUUUAGCAGGGAAGAAGCGAAAGUGACGGUACCUGCAGAAAAAGCGCCGGCUAACUACGUGCCAGCAGCCGCGGUAAUACGUAGGGCGCAAGCGUUAUCCGGAAUUAUUGGGCGUAAAGAGCUCGUAGGCGGUCUGUCGCGUCUGCUGUGAAAACCCGAGGCUCAACCUCGGGCCUGCAGUGGGUACGGGCAGACUAGAGUGCGGUAGGGGAGAUUGGAAUUCCUGGUGUAGCGGUGGAAUGCGCAGAUAUCAGGAGGAACACCGAUGGCGAAGGCAGAUCUCUGGGCCGUAACUGACGCUGAGGAGCGAAAGGGUGGGGAGCAA